GUGCUCGCUUCGGCAGCACAUAUACUAAAAUUGGAACGAUACAGAGAAGAUUAGCAUGGCCCCUGCACAAGGAUGACACGCAAAUUCAUGAAGUGUUUCAUAAUUUU
rnacentral:snRNA from 1 species